rnacentral:rRNA from 2 species
AGGAGAUACACCUGUUCCCAUGCCGAACACAGAAGUUAAGCCCUAGUACGCCUGAUGUAGUUGGGGGUUGCCCCCUGUUAGAUAUGGUAGUCGCUUAGC